GUCUGAUUCUCUCUCUUUUGAAAGAAGCUAAACAGUCAACAACUCCAUUUCCAGUCUCUCUCUAUCGAAGCAGAGCAGUGAAAAUCUGGAGAAGAUACUUUCAUGGCUGGCACGUGGAGAUAAUUCUCAGUGAACAGGAUUCUGGAUAUGUGAAUUGAGAUUGAGGUGUAUAGGGUCCUUUGUUAUUCAUGGCCAAUUUAUUGGCUAAUUUGCUGGAUGUUUGUGUUGAGAUGUAACUAAUUUCAUCGCUACUCUACGUCCCGUUUCCUCCUUUUUUCUUUUUAUAAAAGAGAAAAGAGGAUGGAAGAGUUGACAGAUCUUGUUGCCCGGAACUCAGUUCGUGUAUGGACUGGGAACUUUUUUUGUAUUUCAAUUAUUUUUUUCCCUUUAUGUAUGUUCAAUUAUUUUUUUCCCUUUAUGCAUGUCCAUGAAUUCCCAGUGAACUAGCUUGCAAAUGAUUUACUUCACAGAAUAGAGGUCUUGGGCUUUGUAUAUAUUGAA